rnacentral:tRNA from 1 species
GCAUCUCCCUUACACUGAGAAGUCCCCUGUGCAAAUCGGGGCACCCUGA